GAUGAUGAGCCCAGAGGUCCUGGAAAUUACACAGCAAACCACAGGCUGAGAAGAAAGAGUCCGUAAAGGAAGUUUCUGGAGUUUCUGCUCCUACAGACAUUUAUAAAUAAGUUCAACAGCCAUCUGCCUUGACUGCACUGACCAGCCUGCUGCCUGAUCAAGAAGGCAUGGAACAAGAGGUCCAGCCUACAUUUCUCCCCCAUCACACAUCACUGCUCAGUUUCACCUCCCCACUGCAGCGAUGCCAAUGUGCCUGCAGCCCUGCAGUACCAAUCUGAGCUGCAGCCAUCACCUGCUCUUCCUCCCCUGGAACUAGGGUGCCAAAGCCCCAUAUUUGACACUUGAAAGGAAAGGAAAGCCGAAACAUGACUACCGUCUUCCACCAACUUAAGAGGGCUUCUCCUUUCAUCUGCGUUCUCUCACAAACACAGCAAGUCUUGCUACAGGAAGAGGCCGGUGUUGAGGGCAUCAGUGAUAAAGAAAAGGCUCGUUCACAGAAUAACUGAAAGGAAUGGUUGCAUCAACUCUCUCUCUCUCCUCAUCCUCUGCUUUCCUUGGCGUUGGCUCCACUCUGAGCAGCUCUUCAUGUUUCCGUGGGUAGGUGGCAACAAGGCCACUAGUGCAACUUCAACCAUACAUCAUCUUACAUCAUCCUCACACCCAGAAAUCCCAGGAGAGAUUUGCCCCCCCUAAAACUUUCAACAAAUGUUUCACUGGACCCGCCUGAGUUAUUCGCCCAUGCCUGAUGGGGCCAUGGAGAUGACAUAAGCUGAUUUGAAAGACCAGGAUUGUGUGCCCACCCCAGAACCUUGGAAGUUGGAGUUAACUCCACCAUAACAAUGUAGACAUGGUGAGAAAUCAAAGUCUAUAAAGGGGUAGAGAUUUGCUCAGAAUCACACAGCCCUUGUGGGUAAUCAAUCAGAGGACAACAGACAACCCAACAGAAAAGUGGGCAAAAGUUUUGAACAAACACUUCACUAAGGAGGAUAUUUAAAUGGUCAAUAAACAUAUGAAAAGUUUCCCAGCCUCAUUAGUCAUAAGGGAAAUGCAAAUUAAAAUCACAACGUGAUAUCAUUAUACAACCACCAGGAUGGCUAAGAUGAAAAAGACGAAAAGGAC
ensembl:lncRNA